rnacentral:rRNA from 1 species
UACGAAGGGGGCGAGCGUUGUUCGGAUUUACUGGGCGUAAAGGGCGCGUAGGCGGCCCUCUUUGUCGCGUGUGAAAGCCCCGGGCCUCAACCUGGGAAUUGCGCGCGAAAACGGGGGGGGCUUGAGUUCGGGAGAGGAGCGUGGAAUUCCCAGUGUAGAGGUGAAAUUCGUAGAUAUUGGGAAGAACACCGGUGGCGAAGGCGGCGCUCUGGACCGAGACUGACGCUGAGGCGCGAAAGCGUGGG